UACAGAGGGGGCAAGCGUUGUUUGGAAUUACUGGGCGUAAAGGGCGCGUAGGCGGCCUGUUAAGUCGAACGUGAAAUCCCCGGGCUCAACCCGGGAACUGCGUCCGAUACUGGCAGGCUUGAAUCCGGGAGAGGGAUGCGGAAUUCCAGGUGUAGCGGUGAAAUGCGUAGAUAUCUGGAGGAACACCGGUGGCGAAGGCGGCAUCCUGGACCGGCAUUGACGCUGAGGCGCGGAAAGCCAGGGGAGCCAAAGCGGGG
rnacentral:rRNA from 1 species